UACGGGAGGCAGCAGUGGGGGAAUAUUGCACAAUGGGCGCAAGCCUGAUGCAGCCAUGCCGCGUGUAUGAAAAAGGCCUUCCGGGUUGUAAAGUACUUUCAGUCGUGGGAGGUGUUAAGGUAAUAACCUUAGCAAUUGACGUUAGCGACAGAAAGAAAGCACCGGCUAACUCCGUGCCAGCAGCCCGCGGUAAUAACGGGAGGGGUGCGAGCGUUAAUCGGAAAUUAACUGGGCGAAAGGGCACGCAGGCGGUUAAUUAAGUUGGGAUGUGAAAUCCCCGGGCUUAAACCCUGGGGAAUGGGCAUUCAAGACUGGUUAGCUGAAGUCUUGUAGAGGGGGUAGAAAUUCCAUGUGUAGCGGUGAAAUGCGUAGAGAUGUGGAGGAAUACCGGUGGCGAAGGCGGCCCCUGGACAAAAGGACUGACGCUCAUGUGCGAAAAGCGUGGGGAGCAAAACAGGGAUUAGAAUACC
rnacentral:rRNA from 1 species